CAAGGUUGACCUCGGAUCAGGUAGGGAUACCCGCUGAACUUAAGC
rnacentral:rRNA from 1 species